UCCCUAGUGGCUCAGAUGGUAAAGCGUCUGCCUGCAAUACGGGAGACCCAGGUUCAAUCCCUGGGUUGGGAC
rfam:Ovis aries breed Texel chromosome 2, whole genome shotgun sequence.